UACGUAGGCAGCGAGCGUUGUUCGGAGUUACUGGGCGUAAAGGGUGUGUAGGCGGCUCUCCAAGUUUGGUGUGAAAUCUCCCGGCUCAACCGGGAGGGUGCGCCGAAAACUGGAAGGCUAGAGUGCGGGAUGGGAGAGUGGAAUUCCUGGUGUAGCGGUGAAAUGCGUAGAUAUCUGGAGGAACACCGGUGGCGAAGGCGGCAUCCUGGACCGGUAUUGACGCUGAGGCGCGAAAGCCAGGGGAGCAAACGGG
rnacentral:rRNA from 1 species